rnacentral:rRNA from 1 species
UAGGGAAUCUUCCACAAUGGGCGCAAGCCUGAUGGAGCAACACCGCGUGAGUGAAGAAGGGUUUCGGCUCGUAAAGCUCUGUUGUUAGAGAAGAACACGAGUGAGAGUAACUGUUCAUUCGAUGACGGUAUCUAACCAGCAAGUCACGGCUAACUACGUGUCAG